GAUGAACGCUGGCGGCGUGCCUAAUACAUGCAAGUCGAGCGAACAGACGAGGAGCUUGCUCCUCUGACGUUAGCGGCGGACGGGUGAGUAACACGUGGAUAACCUACCUAUAAGACUGGGAUAACUUCGGGAAACCGGAGCUAAUACCGGAUAAUAUAUUGAACCGCAUGGUUCAAUAGUGAAAGACGGUUUUGCUGUCACUUAUAGAUGGAUCCGCGCCGCAUUAGCUAGUUGGUAAGGUAACGGCUUACCAAGGCAACGAUGCGUAGCCGACCUGAGAGGGUGAUAGGGCAGACUGGAGAUGAGACACGAUACAGACGAAUACGGGAGGCAGCAGUAGGGAAUCUGCCGCAAAGGGCGAAAGCUUGAAGGAGAAAGGCAGCGGGAGUGAUGAAGGUAUUAGGAUAGUAAAAAGCUGUUAAUAGGGAGGAACAAAGAGGUAAGUAAAUAUGCACGUCGUGAAGGUACCUAAUCAGAAAGCAACGGCUAACUACGAG
rnacentral:rRNA from 1 species